GUCCCCAUCGUCUAGAGGCCCAGGACAUUACCCUUUCACGGUAGCGACGGGGGUUCGAAUCCCCCUGGGGACGCCA
rnacentral:tRNA from 1 species